GCAGAAAUGGCAGAUAAGUGCAUUAGAUUUAAGCUCUAAAUAUGAAGAUUCCAAAUUCUUUUUUUUGUA
rnacentral:tRNA from 1 species